AAAAUAAUUCACCAAUCUUGCAUAAAAUUUUGAAAAUAAUGUUUCAUCUUUAACUUUAUGACUUUUGAAGAUCAGUUCAUCUUCCACUCAGUUAACUAUUCAGAAUAACAGAAAUUUUGACUGGGGUGCCCAAACUAUUGCCUGCCAAUGUAUAUAUGGUGUGCAAAAGCACUGGCGAGAAAAUCCUUCAGUACUGCUACAGGCCUGUUACAUUGGUUGUGUGAGAGUGCGGAUGAAGUCAGUGAAACCCAGAGGAGAUCAAAGUGCUUGUUGACAGUGACUUGAUAGCUGUAGAAAUGAACACCUCUCUAUAUAAAAUUCACUGUGCACAUAUUGUUGUCACUGGGCAAAAAUUUGCACAGCACAAGGUUUUUGUGCACACUGGUGAUUACAAAUUGGAGGGGACAUUGGUGGGAAGGUGGGGAGACCUCCAGUGUCCCUGAUGCCCUCACCUACAAGAUGUGCAUCCAGCUACAGCUUGUAACCCUGCACUUUGAGGAGUUGGAACUUGAAAUGGAUAAAUUCUGGAUCAGCCGGGAGUCGGAGAAGGUGAAAAAUAUGACAGAAAGAGAGGUGUGUUACACCGAGAUGCAGGACACAGGAAACUGGGUGAGAGUCAGGAAGUGGAAUGAGGUUAAAUAGCCAUCACAGAGUACUCUUGAGGCCAUCCCACAGAACAACAGGUGGGCCACUUUAGAAACUGUUGGGGGAGGGAUUAUCUGGCAGAGGGAAGUCAAAGGUGUGUUAGGGGGUUCAAUAGUUAGGGGAACAUAACUAGAAGGGGACUAAUAUCCCAGUGGUAAGGCUUGCAAGUGCUAGUGGGGGAGUUAAACUAAAGUUGCAGGCAGGGUGGGAGCCAGAAUGACAGAACAGAUAAUGGAGGUGCAGAAUUGAAUUGUCUUUAUUACUUAUAUCCUUCAUAUAUAUGAGGAGUAGAAAUAUUUACAUUAUGUGUCUGUCUAAAUGUGCAAUAUGCAAUUUAUGGUAAUUUAUAAUAAACAUUAUGUACAACAGGACAGUCAACAUAACAUAGAAAUACAGUUGUAUCAGCAUGAAUUAAUCAGUCUGAUGGCUUGGUGGAAGAAGCUGUCCCAGAGCCUGUUGGUCCUGGCUUUUAUGCUGCGGUACCAUUUCCCAGAUGGUAGCAGCUGGAGCAGUUAGUGGUUGGGUUGACUGGGAUCCACAAUGACCCUUCAGGUCCUCUUUACAGCCCUGAAUAGUGAGAAGUUCACGUCUACAGACGCGCUGGGCUCUCUGCACCACUCUCUGCAGAGUCCUGCGAUAUAGGGAAAUACAGUCCCCAUACCAGGCAGUGACACAGCCAGUCACAAUGCUCUUAAUUGUGACCCUGCAGAAAGUUCUUAGGAUUUAGGUCCCCAUUUCAAACUUCUCAAUGCUCUGAGGUAAAAGAGACACUGUUGUGUUUUUUUCCACCACACAACCAGCAUGUAUGGACCAUGUAUUAUGAUAUUGUAGCCAUUGCUGGGACAUGGUUCCAGCCAACAGUCUGAGGGAUACAGAGGAACAAAUCUUUCUCCAGUGAUCACAGACCAUGCUAACAAACAAAGGGUGAUAUGUUAAGUGAUUUUAAUUUUCCAUAUAUUGUCUGAGACUCCCAUCCGUAAAAAGACUAGUCAAAUGUGUCCUUAAUUGGGAAGUAGAAUUCCCAAUGUAGAAGUAUGCAAUAAGCUGUUAGGAAAUGAUCCGGGGCUGUUGACAGAAAUUAGUUAUCAUAAUGCCAAGAGAUUGAAAGUAAAUAUGGAAAAAGAGAGGUCUGGACCAUGGGUGGAGAUUCUAAAUUGGAGAAAGGUCAACUUUGAAGGUGUCAGAAAAGAUCUGACAAGUGUGGAUUGGAACAGGCUGUUUCGUGGCAAAUUAUGAUAAUUUGCUAAUUUAUAAUUUUACUAAUUUGAUAAUUUAUGAUAAUUAGCAUAAUUAGUUGGUGAGUGGGAGCACUUCAGAAGUGAAAUUUUGAUGAUGAAGAGUUUGUACGUGCCUGCAAAACUGAAAGUUGAAAGAUAACUGGUACAGGGAACCUUGGUUUUCAAGAGAUAUCGAGGCCAAGGGUAUUUUGUUCCUCUCAAUGCCUCAGACUGUUGGGUGCUACAAUAUCAUCAUUCCACACCGUGAGCUCAUCCGACAAUGUUUUCAAUCGUCUUCUCUUGGUUUCUAAAAGCUUCCCAAUAGUUUCUGCUCUUUUGUUUUCCCUCUCUUUGGAGUUUAUGUUGGCUUUGGCUUCUCAUUUCAGCCACGGUUGUGUCCUCCUGCCUUUCCAAUGCUUCCACUUCUUUGGGAUGUGUCUAUCACUCAGCUCCCGAGUUGCUCCCAGAAACUCCAGCCAUUGCUGCUCCAUCCUCAUUCCUACCAGAUUCCCCUUCCAGUCAAGUGUGGCCAGCUUCUCUGUCACAGAAACAUGGAGAAGGUCAGAACAGAAACAAGCCCACUCUGGACGAUCAGAAUGGUAAUCUAUACGGGAGACAAAAUAGAUGGGGGAGGUUUUAAAUAGUAGUUUAGCAUCCGUAUUGACUCAGGAGAUGGACACAGAGUCUGUAGAAGUGAGGCAAAGCAGCAUCAACUUCAUGGACCCUGUACAGAUUACAGAGGUGGAGGUUUUUGCUGUCUUAAGGCAAAUUAGCAUGGAUAAAUCCCCAGGGCUUGGCAAGUUGAUCACUAGGACCCUGCGGAAGACAAGUGCAGAAAUUGUCGGGGUCCAAGCACAGAUAUUUAACUCAUCCUUAGUGACAGCUGAGGUACUGGAGGAUUGGAGGACGCCAAUGUUGUUCAGCUGUUCAAGAAAGACUCUAAAAUUAAGCUAGGCAAUUUUAUAUUGGUGAGCUUGACAACAGUAGUGGAAAAGUCAUUGUGACAUAUGUGCAGGAACCGGAUAUAUAAGUAUUUGGAUAGAUGUGGACUGAUCAAGGAUAGGCAGCAUGGCUUUGAGCAUAGUAGGUCAUGUCUAACCAAUCUUAUAGAGUCUCUCGAGGAAGUUAUCAGGAAAGUGGUUGAAGACAAGGCAGUGGAUGUUGUCUACAUGGACUUUAGCAAGGCACUUGACAAAGUCUCAUAUGAGAAGUUGGUCAAGAAGGUUUAGUCACUCAGCAUUCAAGAUGAGAUAGUAAAUUGGAUGAGACUCUGUCUUUGGGAGAAGCCAGAGUGUGGUAGCUGAUGGUUGCCUUUCUGACUGGGGGCAUGUGACUAGUGGUGAGCCACAGGGAUCAGUGCUGGAUCUGUUGUUGUUUGUCAUCUAUCUCAGUAAUCUGGAUGAUAGUGUGGUUAACUGGAUCAGCAAAUUUGUGGAUGACACCAAGACUGGUGGUGUAAUGGACAGCAAGGAAGACUAUCAUGGCUUGCAGUGCAAUCUGAACCCACUGGGAAAAUGGUUUUAGAAAUGGAAAAUGGAAUUUAAUGCAGACCAGUGUGAGUUGUUGCACUUUGGUCUGACCUACCAAGGGAGGUCUUUCACAGUGACUGGUCGGGCACGGAGGAGUGUUGUAGAGGAAAGGGACCUAGGAAUACAAGUCAUUAAUUCAUGGAAAGUGGUAUGACAGUUAGAUAGUGACGGAAAAAAUAUUUUAGCCCAUUGGACUUCACGAACCAAAUAGUGACAAUAGAUGGAUUUUAUGUUCACUUGUAGAAGACAUUGGUGAGGCCUAAUUUGGAGUAUUGUGUGCAGUUUUGGUCACCUACCUACAGGAAAGAUUUAAAAGAGGUUCAGAGAUUUUAGAGAAAAUUCACAAGGAUGUUGCCAUGUCUGGAGGACUUGAGUUAUAAGGAAAGAUUGAAUGGGUCAGGGCAUUAUUCGUUGGAAUGUAGAAGAUUGAGGGAGAUUUGAUUGUGAUAGAGAGGCAUUGAUAGAGUUAAUGCAAGCUGCCUUUCUCCACUGAGAUGGGGGUGGGACUACAACAAGUGGCCAGGGGUUAAGGUGAAAGGUGAAAUGUUAAGGGGAACACGAGGGAAACUUCUUCACACAGACAGUUGCCUGGGUGUGGAAUGAGUAGCCAGCACAAGUGGUGCAUGCGAGCUCGAUCUCAACAUUUAAGAGGUUCGUAUAGGUACCUGGAUGGUAGAGGUAUGGGAGUGGGCAAUUUAAAUAGUUCAGCACAAACCAGAUGGCCCAAAGGACCUGUUUCUGUGUUGUACUUUUCUACAAGAACCUGAAAUAUUACAAAAAUUCACUGUCCUUUUAACAGCUGCGGAACAACAAUUCACCUCAGCAGGUGAAUAUAUGGCAUUAAAAAUUGUGGCACUUUAAGAUAAUAAUACAUAAAAGAGUGAGAGUGUUUCAGUUACUGUGCGGCCAGGCACCCAUGCAGCUCAGCAGGAACAGGGAAUAAUACCAAUGAAGAGAGUCAAACUGAGCCAAGGUACAGAUUGGAGAUGGUAGAAAUGCCCCAUUCUUAUAGAGACAGGAAGAGCAUCAGGGUCAUUCCAGAUACCAGCACUCUGCCCAGUCAGAAGAUGAUUUCUCUGUCCAACUUUGCUUCAACCUCAUUGUAACAGUGUGAUACCAGAUCAAACCUUGACAACUCAAGUAAUCUCAUCUGAAAUGUUGUCCUACACCCAUUGAUGGAUUUUGUAAAUCUUUUCACAGGUUAAAAAUGAGAAGGAAUUUGUCUCCGGGAAUCACAAACAAGUUUUGGUCUUUCUGUCUAGAUAUUUUAGAAGUGGAGCAAGGGAUACAAUCGACCAUCCUUCCUGCUCAGACUGUGGGGAGGAAUUCACUUGGUUAUUUGCCCAAAUAGCAAACCUGUCAUUUUACACAGGAGAAAGGACAUUCACCUGCUCAGACAGUGGGAAUGGAUUCACUCAGUCAUCUCAACUGAAGAGAGAACCAAGGGAAGUGAGCUCCCUAAGAUGGAAGCCAAUGAAAAUCCUUGUGCCGAAUUGCGUUCAAGAUUAACCCAAUGAAGACCAACAUUCAAAUCCACUUCUUAUGUACAGAAUAUUAAGUAUUGAAUAUUAAUUGCCCAGUAAUAAAAUCUUAAAUUUGGCACUGCCAAGCCACCAUUCUUUUUGGAUUUCUGCAAAUAUUUUUUACUUAGCCUAGGAUUUUUGUUCUGCCAUUUUUUAGAUGAACUUUUAGAGUCAAUAGUAUCAAAAAAGGAUUUAAGUAUAAUGAUUGGUACUGCUGGGAAAAGAUUUAAAAUCUUAGGUAAAAUAAUCUUUUUUUUUGCAUUAAUUUGGCCAAUCAAUGACAUAGACAAUAAGGACCAGCUAGUAAGCAAUUGUUUGACCUGAUCAAUUAAAGGUAAAAGAUUAACAUUAAAUAAAUCCUUGUGUUUUUUUUUAGUAAUUUUAACACCGAGGUAAGUAAAAUAAUCCGUAACUAAUCUAAAUGCUAAAUGACAAAAGAUUGGAACUGACAAUUUUAAAGGGAAAUGUUCACUCUUAUUAAGAUUCAGUUUGUAACCAGAAAAGUUUCUAAACUGAGCGAGCAGGAUAUAAAACCAGGACUGGAUUUGUCAGGAUUCGAAAUAUAUAAUAACUAAUCAUCCGCAUAUAACGUUAACUUGUGUACCACAUUCCCGCGGGAAACGCCAAAUAUAGAAGGAGAGUCACGAAUAGCAAUAGCUAAAGAUUCCAGGGCCAUGUCAAAUAGCAAUGGGCUAAGAGGAUAACCUUGCCUAGUACCGCGAAAUAACCGAGAAAAAGGAGAUCUUAUAUUAUUGGUAAGUACCGAAGCCGUAGGGGCAUAAUAUAUCAAUUUAACCCAAGAUAUAAAUUAGGAAAUAAAAUUAAAUUUCUCAAGCGUGGUAAUUAAGUAUGGCCGUUCAACUCUAUCGAAUGCAUUCUCGGCACCCAAUGAGUUGACUCAUUCUGGAAUUCUAGAUGAGGGAGUAUAAACAAUAUUCAUCAAUCUCCUAAUAUUAAAGGACAAAUAGCGGUUUUUAAUAAAUCUGGUCUGAUCGACAGAGAUACUUUAAGGCAAUACAUUCUCCAAUCUAGUAGCCAGCAUUUCCGCCUCCUGUCCAGGGAUGCUGCAUUUACCUGAUGUGCAGGUUCGAGAUUCCACCACCUGGGACCUCGGGGAAUUACACGGACGCGAAGAGCCCGGGGGUGGGGGGUGGUAGGUGUGCAGGGCGUACCUCACUCUGGGACACCAGUGUCCCGGGGUUUGCAUUUACCUGAUGUGCAGGUUCGAGAUUCCCCCACCUGGGACCUCGGGGAAUUACACGGACGCGAAGACCCCGGGGGGCGGGGAGGUGUGCAAGGCGUACCUCAGUCUGGGACACCAGUGUCCCGGGGUUUGCAUUCACCUGAUGUGCAGGUUCGAGAUUCCCCCCACCUGGGACCUCGGGGAAUUACACGGACGCGAAGACCCCGGGAGGUGGGGGGGGGGGGGUGGUAGGGGUGCAGGGCGUACCUCAGUCUGGGACACCAGUGUCCCGGGGUUUGCAUUUUUCCGGAGAGAAGCUUUUUGCCCCCUUUGCAGAGGACGGUGCAUUCGGCGGUUUGGCCGAUAUAAUGAUGUUAAAUUCACAGAUCCCUCAGCAGUGACGUUGGAUCUGCAGCGAUCUCGGUCACGGCCCUGAAGUGUGAUUUUAUAAUCAUCGGCUCCCCGAUGCGGAGUGACGGUGAGAAACGGGACUGAUUAUUCAACCGCUGACUCGUUGUCGCCGGUCAGUUAAUUGUGUGUGACUGUGAGUGAAUCGGAGGCAACUUAUUUAUUCCUGCACGUCAGAAGCUCACACAUUGUUUAAUUUACAUUUGUCAUGAUGAAAUCAAUAAACCGCUGUAAUUUUCAGUCCU